GGAUAACUGCCCUUGGGACCGGCAUAACCCCGGGAAACUGGGGAUAAUUCCGGAUAACGCAUAUUUGCUGGAAUGCUUUAUGCGUCAAAAGGAUUCGUCUGCCCAAGGAUGGGUCUGCGGCCUAUCAGGUAGUAGUGGGUGUAAUGUACCUACUAGCCAGCGACGGGUACGGGUUGUGAGAGCAAGAGCCCGGAGAUGGAUUCUGAGACAUGAAUCCAGGCCCUACGGGGCGCAGCAGGCGCGAAAACUUUACAAUGCGGGAAACCGUGAUAAGGGGACACCGAGUGCCAGCAUCAUAUGCUGGCUGUCCGGAUGUGUAAAAUACAUCCGUUAGCAAGGGCCGGGCAAGACCGGUGCCAGCCGCCGCGGUAACACCGGCGGCCCGAGUGGUGAUCGUGAUUAUUGGGUCUAAAGGGUCCGUAGCCGGUUUGGUCAGUCCUCCGGGAAAUCUGAUAGCUUAACUAUUAGGCUUUCGGGGGAUACUGCCAGACUUGGAACCGGGAGAGGUAAGAGGUACUACAGGGGUAGGAGUGAAAUCUUGUAAUCCCUGUGGGACCACCUGUGGCGAAGGCGUCUUACCAGAACGGGUUCGACGGUGAGGGACGAAAGCUGGGGGCACGAACCGGAUUAGAUACCCGGGUAGUCCCAGCCGUAAACGAUGCUCGCUAGGUGUCAGGCAUGGCGCGACCGUGUCUGGUGCCGCAGGGAAGCCGUGAAGCGAGCCACCUGGGAAGUACGGCCGCAAGGCUGAAACUUAA
rnacentral:rRNA from 1 species